rnacentral:snoRNA from 1 species
CCAAUGUGGAUAACCUAGGUGGUCACUCUCCCUGGGUUCUGCCCAAGUGGCGUACAGGAGCCUAGAGCUCUGCCCCCUUUCAACGACGCUGGAGAUAAAGCCUUGAGUGUACACCUGCAUAUUUCUAUGACUUCUCAGAGUCCUGUGGACAAUGACUGAGGAGACAAACCAUACAGGAAACAGUC